AACGGCGCGUUGUAGCCGCUAUUCAUAGGCAAUGGUGUCCAGGAUGACUCAGCCCUGAGGAAUACGAAUCUCAUAGAAGGCUUUCAGUCUGGGAUGAAACUGUAAAACAAGACAGAGUCACAACGACCAAAGGGAUAGGCAGUAAAUGGGACAAAGAUAUGGAAAGGAAGUUGAUCCU
rnacentral:ncRNA from 1 species